UACGAAGGGGGCUAGCGUUGUUCGGAAUCACUGGGCGUAAAGCGCACGUAGGCGGAUGUGCCAGUCAGGGGUGAAAUCCCGGAGCUCAACUCCGGAACUGCCCUUGAAACUGCAGUGCUAGAAUCCUGGAGAGGCGAGUGGAAUUCCGAGUGUAGAGGUGAAAUUCGUAGAUAUUCGGAAGAACACCAGUGGCGAAGGCGACUCGCUGGACAGGUAUUGACGCUGAGGUGCGAAAGCGUGGGGAGCAAACAGG
rnacentral:rRNA from 1 species